UACGUAGGGUGCGAGCGUUGUCCGGAAUUAUUGGGCGUAAAGGGCUCGUAGGCGGUUUGUCGCGUCGGGAGUGAAAACCAGGUGCUUAACACCUGGCUUGCUUUCGAUACGGGCAGACUAGAGGUAUUCAGGGGAGAACUGAAUUCCUGGUGUAGCGGUGAAAUGCGCAGAUAUCAGGAGGAACACCGGUGGCGAAGGCGGUUCUCUGGGAAUGACCUGACGCUGAGGAGCGAAAGUGUGGGGAGCGAACAGG
rnacentral:rRNA from 1 species